AUAACGGUCCUAAGGUAGCGAAAUUCCUUGUCAGGUAAGUUCUGACCCGCACGAAUGGCGUAAUGAUUUGGGCACUGUCUCGACAGCCCGCCCGGCGAAAUUGUAGUACUGGUGAAGAUGCCAGUUACCCGCAACUAGACGGAAAGACCCCAUGGAGCUUUACUGCAGUUUAAUACUGGGAAUCGGUAAUGCAUGUACAGGAUAGGUGGGAGACAUGGAAGCAUGGUCGUCAGGUCAUGUGGAGUCGCCGGUGGGAUACCACUCUUGUAUUGCUGAUUUCCUAACCUGCGGCCGUGAAUCCGGUCGGGGGACACUGUUAGGCGGGCAGUUUGACUGGGGCGGUCGCCUCCAAAAGAGUAACGGAGGCGCUCAAAGGUUCGUUCAGCACGGACGGAAAUCGUGCAUUGAGUGUAAACGCAUAAACGAGCCUAACUGCGAGACCGACGGGUCGAGCAGUAACGAAAGUUGGAGUUAGUGAUCCGGUGGUAUGUGAGUGGAAAUGCCAUCGCUCAACGGAUAAAAGCUACCCUGGGGAUAACAGGCUGAUCUCCCCCAAGCGUCCACAGCGACGGGGAGGUUUGGCACCUCGAUGUCGGCUCGUCGCAUCCUGGGGCUGUAUUCGGUCCCAAGGGUUUGGCUGUUCGCCAAUUAAAGCGGCACGCGAGCUGGGUUCAGAACGUCGUGAGACAGUUCGGUCCCUAUCUGUUGCGGGCGUAAGAGAUUUGAAGGGAGCUGUCCUUAGUACGAGAGGACCGGGAUGGACGUACCUCUGGUGCACCAGUUGUCCUGCCAAGGGCAUAGCUGGGUAGCUAUGUACGGACGAGAUAAACGCUGAAAGCAUCUAAGCGUGAAACUCCCCCUAAGAUGAGAUCUCUCAUCCUUUAUGGAGUAAGGGCCCAGAAAGACGAUCUGGUUGAUAGGCCGGAGGUGGAAGUGCAGCAAUGUAUGGAGCUGACCGGUACUAAUAGCCCGAGGGCUUGACCUA
rnacentral:rRNA from 1 species